rnacentral:rRNA from 1 species
ACACGUAUGCAACCUACCUUUUACAGGAGUAUAGCUCCCCGAAAGAGGAAUUAACCCUCCAUAAUAUCAUUGGAUGGCAUCAUUUGAUGAUUAAAACUGAGGUGGUAAAAGAUGGGCAUGCGUCUGAUUAGUUAGUUGGCAGUGUAACGGACUACCAAGACGAUGAUCAGUAGGGGACCUGAGAGGGUGAUCCCCCACACUGGCACUGAGAUACGGGCCAGACUCCUACGGGAGGCAGCAGUAGGGAAUAUUGGACAAUGGGUGAGAGCCUGAUCCAGCCAUGCCGCGUGCAGGAAGAAGGCGUUAUGCGUUGUAAACUGCUUUUGCCAGGGGAUAAAACGGUUCUGCGGAACUAAUUGAAGGUACCUGGUGAAUAAGCCACGGCUAACUACGUGCCAGCAGCCGCGGUAAUACGUAGGUGGCAAGCGUUGUCCGGAUUUAUUGGGUUUAAAGGGUGCGUAGGCGGCCCUGUAAGUCAGUGCUGAAAUAUCCCGGCUUAACCGGGAGGGUGGCAUUGAUACUGCAGGGCUUGAGUACAGAUGAGGUAGGCGGAAUUGACGGUGUAGCGGUGAAAUGCAUAGAUAUCGUCAAGAACACCGAUAGCGAAGGCAGCUUACCAAGCUGUAACUGACGCUGAGGCACGAAAGUGUGGGGAUCAAACAGGAUUAGAUACCCUGGUAGUCCACACUGUAAACGUUGAUGACUCGAUGUUGGCGAUAUACAGCCAGCGUCCA